rnacentral:rRNA from 1 species
CCUACGGGUGGCAGCAGUGGGGGAUAUUGCACAAUGGGGGAAACCCUGAUGCAGCGACGCCGCGUGGGCGAAGAAGUAUUUCGGUAUGUAAAGCCCUAUCAGCAGGGAAGAAGAACUGGCUGUACCUGAGUACUCAGCCCCGUCUAAAUACGUGCCAGCAGCCGCGGUAAUACGUAGGGUGCAAGCGUUAUCCGGAUUUACUGGGUGUAAAGGGAGCGCAGGCGGCACGGCAAGUCUGAUGGGAAAGCCCGCGGCCCAACCGCGGGACUGCAUUGGGAACUACCGGGCUGGAGUGCGGGAGAGGUAGGCGGAAGUCCUAGUGUAGCGGUGAAAUGCGUAGAUAUUAGGAGGAACACCAGUGGCGAAGGCGGCCUACUGGACGGUGACUGACGCUGAGGCUCGAAAGCGUGGGGAGCAAACAGGAUUAGAUACCCCAGUAGUC